GUUAUUUUUAACUCAAUAUUAGCAUCAAGGAGUUAUUUUUGAUAAACAGAACAGGAAUUGUUCUUCUGUCAAAUGUAAUAAACAGAAGGUUUUGGAAAUACUGUAAAAUAAUAAUGCAAUAACUUGGAGUAUUUAAAAUGAAUUUACCUUCUUGCUUCCACAAUUUACGUCUUGAAACAAAACCUUUUGCAAUUAGAACGCUGUUGCAAUUCACAACACACAGAUGUAAAGUCCAGCACGUUUCAGAUAAAGAAAUGGAGCAACCCAUAACUGUUGCAUUCCCUUUUGCAGUGUUACUCACUGAUAUCGUGUUGAAUGUUACAGGAUACAGAGGCUUCCAGAGCUCAUCAGAAGACCUGCCAAGCAGCUGCAGGAGGAAUUCUGAUGGAGGAAACUUUCAAGCAGUGCAGCACAGUAUCCAGGAGGGAGACUCACCAACCCCAAAUCUGAUCAGCUCCCAAAUGCUGAGGUAGCUCCCUGUUUAGCUGGCCAUCUAACAAACCAAGAGGGAGAUUAAACCCUCUGAGUAUCCUAAGACAGCUUCCUCAUGGUGGUUCACACAACUGACAGUGUCAAGC
rnacentral:lncRNA from 1 species